rnacentral:rRNA from 1 species
GGCCUAACACAUGCAAGUCGAACGGCAGCGCGGGGCAACCUGGCGGCGAGUGGCGAACGGGUGAGUAAUAUAUCGGAACGUACCCUGGAGUGGGGGAUAACGUAGCGAAAGUUACGCUAAUACCGCAUACGAUCUAAGGAUGAAAGCAGGGGACCGCAAGGCCUUGUGCUCCUGGAGCGGCCGAUAUCUGAUUAGCUAGUUGGUGGGGUAAAGGCCCACCAAGGCAUCGAUCAGUAGCUGGUCUGAGAGGACGACCAGCCACACUGGAACUGAGACACGGUCCAGACUCCUACGGGAGGCAGCAGUGGGGAAUUUUGGACAAUGGGCGCAAGCCUGAUCCAGCAAUGCCGCGUGAGUGAAGAAGGCCUUCGGGUUGUAAAGCUCUUUUGUUAGGGAAGAAACGGUGGAGGCUAAUAUCCUUUGCUAAUGACGGUACCUGAAGAAUAAGCACCGGCUAACUACGUGCCAGCAGCCGCGGUAAUACGUAGGGUGCAAGCGUUAAUCGGAAUUACUGGGCGUAAAGCGUGCGCAGGCGGUUUUGUAAGUUUGUCGUGAAAUCCCCGGGCUCAACCUGGGAAUGGCGAUGAAGACUGCAAGGCUAGAGUUUGGCAGAGGGGGGUAGAAUUCCACGUGUAGCAGUGAAAUGCGUAGAUAUGUGGAGGAACACCGAUGGCAAAGGCAGCCCCCUGGGUCAAAACUGACGCUCAUGCACGAAAGCGUGGGGAGCAAACAGGAUUAGAUACCCUGGUAGUCCACGCCCUAAACGAUGUCUACUAGUUGUCGGGUCUUAAUUGACUUGGUAACGCAGCUAACGCGUGAAGUAGACCGCCUGGGGAGUACGGUCGCAAGA